CUACAUCUAGUCACUGGGCUCUGUCAUAUCCUCAUAUGGUCUCUCCUAUCAUUGCAAUGCGGAUAACACUCAACUACCUUUGUCUUUCCUCCCUUGUGAGACACAGGUGGAAAAAUGCAUCUCCGGUUGACUGGCAGAUAUCUCAGCUUGGAUGUCGGCCCACCACCUCAAGCUCAGCAAAACGGAACUGCUCUUCUUCCAGGGAAGGCCUUCCCGCUCCAAGACAUCUCCAUAAUGGUUGACAACUCCACGGUGUCCCCCGCCCAGAGUGCAAAGAACCUUGGUGUGACCCAGGACCACACCCUGUUCUCUGAUAACAUCACAGGAAGCUGCGCAGGUCCUAAUCCGGGCACUUGUCUCCCGUCUGAACUAGUGCAACUCGCUGUUGGCUGGGCUCCUCACUUGUGUCAUCAAACCCCUGCAACUUAUCCAGAACGCUGCAGCCCACCUGGUGUUAAACAUUCCCAAGUGCUCCCAUGUCACCCUGCUUGUCUGCACAAUCCACUGACUUCCAGUUGAAGAACAAGGGCACUAGCUACUAGCCCUUAUGACUCCAGUGCUGUAUGGCCUUGGGUUCUUGGGAGCUAGAGCACUACUAUCUGAAAGCUUUUUAUUUAAGUACACUAUGCAGUGAGUUCCAGAUGUGGCUGGAAGAGUGGUGACGGACAACAGUCGAGGGCAUCUUCACUCAGUAGUGAGCACGUAGGAGCUCAUCUUCAUGGAGCAGCUGGAGUUCAUCUAUACAAAGGACACUGGCAGUUCGAGGUCCUAUGCUUCGGCCUGUGCAAUGCUCCAGCUACUUUUGAGUGUUUGAUGGACAGGGUGCUGGAUGGCAUUCCCUGACAGUGUCUGGUAUACCUCAACGACAUCAUGGCCCAUGGCAGCUCCUUCCAGUCAGCCCUGCGGGCACUACACAGCGUGAGCUGGAGAGGGUGGCUGCCGCAGGCCUGAAGCUCCACCCAGAGAAGUGCCCCUUCAUGAUGGGAGAGGUGUCCUUCUUGGGCCACUGAGGGUAUCAGCACCAUGGAGGACAAAGUGGGGGCUGUCUGAGACUGGCCCUCCCCCACCAAUCAGCAACAGCUGAAGAGCGUCCUGGGCCUGGCCUCUUACUACAGGAGGUUUGUACGGGGCUUCUCAAGCAUCGCUGCUCCCCUGAACCGCCUGCUGCCGAAGGACAAGGCCUUCACUUAGACAGUGGCGUGCAAGGAGGCCUUCAACACCCUCAAACAUGCACUGAUCAAGGCCCCUGUGCUCGCCCCCCCCAACCUCACCUUGCCCUUUAUCCUGGACACAGAUGUGAGCAGUGGGGCCAGAGGGGGAGAGUGGUGGCGUACUUCAGCAAAACAUUCAACAAACAUAAGUGCCACUACUGUGUCACCCGGCGGGAGCACCUCGCUCUUGUGGCUUCCAUCAAACACUUCAAGUACUACCUGGGUGGCCUGCCCUUUACAGUAAGGACUGACCACUCUCCUCUCCAGUGGCUCAUGUGUUUCAAAGAGCCAGAGGAGAAGAUUGCACGCUGGUUGGAAGAGCUUCAGCCGUACGACUUCAUAGCGGUGCACAAGGCAGGGGAACGCCAUUCCGACACCAUGUCCUGUCGGCCCUGUACUGCAGACGGGUGCAGCCACUGAGUGGAGACUGUGUCAGGCGAGCAGGCUUGUGAGCUGUAGACUGAUGUGGCUGAAUGGGAUCAGCAGCAGGGACUGGACACAGACCUACAGCCAGUAAUGAAGUGGGCAGAAGUGCAGCUGAGGCCACUGUGGGAAGAUGUGGCUGAUGGCGCUCUACAGCUGGCAUGGAAGGAGCCAGCUAUGGGUGAGGAUAGGUGGCAGGUGGUGGUCCCAAAAGCACUGUGGGAUACUGUGCUCCAGGGCACUCAUGGGGGGUGGGGAUUGGACACUUUGGGGUCCCAAAAACACUCCGCUGUCUCCGUUGGAUUUUACUGGGGGCAGCACAUGUGGAGGACUUUGCCGCCGCUGUGACAACUGCACAGCGAGAAAGGGCCCUGCAGGCCGUUCAUAUCAGCUCAACAGUUCCCAGUUGGGGCUCCCAUGGAGCGGGUGGAUGUGGUUGGGCUGUCCCCACCACACAGUGGAAACCACUGGGUGUUCACGGCCAUGGACGAUUUCACAAAAUGGCCCGAGGCCUAUGCUUUGCCUUACCAGGAGGCAGAGACCAUCGUUGAUGAACUAACAGCAGUGAUGUUCAGCAG
rnacentral:lncRNA from 1 species